ACCUAAAUAGCUUAUUUUAGAGUAUAACAUUGAAGAUGUUAGGGAAAUAUUAUUAUUUUUAGGUA
rnacentral:tRNA from 1 species